CCUACGGGUGGCAGCAGUGAGGAAUAUUGGUCAAUGGACGAGAGUCUGAACCAGCCAAGUAGCGUGAAGGAUGACUGCCCUAUGGGUUGUAAACUUCUUUUAUAUGGGAAUAAAAUGUUCCACGUGUGGGAUUUUGUAUGUACCAUAUGAAUAAGGAUCGGCUAACUCCGUGCCAGCAGCCGCGGUAAUACGGAGGAUCCGAGCGUUAUCCGGAUUUAUUGGGUUUAAAGGGAGCGUAGGUGGAUUGUUAAGUCAGUUGUGAAAGUGUGCGGCUCAACCGUAAAAUUGCAGUUGAAACUGGCAGUCUUGAGUACAGUAGAGGUGGGCGGAAUUCGUGGUGUAGCGGUGAAAUGCUUAGAUAUCACGAAGAACUCCGAUUGCGAAGGCAGUUCACUGGACUGCAACUGACACUGAGGCGCGAAAGUGUGGGUAUCAAACAGGAUUAGAUACCCUUGUAGUC
rnacentral:rRNA from 1 species